ensembl:lncRNA
UAUUGUGUUAUAAACACAAGUCCCAAUUGGCUAUCCCCCCCGUCAAGACAUUAAUAGCUCACACGGCAUCGCAAAUGAUUUUUUCAAAAAAAGGCAGCGAUAUAUGCAUACAAGCAGCUUAAAGUUGUUGUUAAAGCCAAUUCAUACAUUUUUCCAAACUCAACAUUGAAUUUAUCAAGCCUGUGGUAACAUGCAACAGUGUGGUAGCUCUGGUAUAUGAAUAUAAUAAAAACCUCAAUGUUGACAUAUCUUCUACUUUGUGGGCUUUUUCAAUCCAUAUGCUACUUUUUUUCAUAUGCUCUGGAGUUUUUUAUGUUUUCUCCCCUAGCAGGUCUCUGAGGGGGUGAAGAGGGAAGAACAACUGGGGUAUUUCAUAUUCAAUAUUAACCCCACUUGUCCAUGUUUUGGAAUGGAGAUAUUUGUAUUACAUUCACUAAGAAAAUUAACUUGAACUCCUCAUCUUUUAAAUGCCAUCCGUUCGUUCGGCAGAAGGAAAACAAAUUAUUUGUCUGGGUGCAUUGAGCCAUGCCGUGCCAAGUCUUAUCAGCAAACACUCGAUGCGUUCAAGCAGAACUUUGUCAUUAGGAUCUGUGAUGCGGAGGUGACGCUGAGAUGUAGGGAUGAAUAAUUCUCGCUUUUGUUAAUUAUUUCCAAAGGGGAUUCGGAACAAGCAGACUGCAGGUUAGGUAAGAUGUCGACAAGUUGACCUGCCAACCACUCGCACAGUUUCCACCGCCUGAGUAUAGUAGAGUGGAAACACUCUAAACAGCCUCGUCUACUAUAUCCGCAUCCAAAAGCCAUCCUCACAAAGCAAGUUUAUUGUAGUCAAUCAUAUAAGGUAUAAAUGUAAUGUGCCACAGAGCAGAAGAGAUGUGCAACAGGGGUCGUCCCAACAUCUGAACUCAUUUCAUACUGGCACCCUCUCACAUACUGACGCUGUGUCAGUCCGUCAAUUACUCACUAGGUAGCACAGCCUCCAAAUAUGAGGCUCCUUUACAGUCACAAUUCAGAAACAGAAACAUUUAGUUAGGUUUAGAAAACACUUUGAGAAGAAAGCAGCAGGGUCUGCCAGUGUGCAGAGCUCUGUCUUUGUUCUGGUUCACCCAUCCUCCUCGCUGCAGUGGGCCAAACUCCAUUGACUGGGUUUCCGGCAGCGUGGUGCCAGUGUUGGACACCUGUCCGGAGGCGGAGCCGUUCCUAUCGGGUGUGGGCCAACCUCCAGCGGGAGUCAUGGCAAAGCGGAACCGUUUGAGCCAGUUAAAAGUUCCUCAGAGUAAGUUCAAGCAAUUCAAAUUCACGUUGAAUCGAUCUCUAAAUGUCUAAAAUGAUCUGCUGAGGCUACAAAAAGACUGAUUCUGAUAUUUUAAACAUAGUAAUAAUGAAUUCUUGAGGUAGAAAGAGAUGAUAAACAAAGGAGUGUAAAUGUUAAUGUAAUGGAGUAUUGCAGAAUACACAGGUAGCAGGUGGACAAGGGCAUCGCCCUUAAAUGCUUUCAAGCCCAGAGCCCAUGGAAGAAUCGGAGGUGGGGAGAGUCUCAUUGGGGAGACAGCCCUGGGAACGCUCUGGAUCAUCCUGAUGCUUUAGUGAUUUCUCCUAUUAUGGUUUUCUAAUGCACUACUGUAGAGGAACUGUUUGUGGAAUAAAACAAAAUGCGCUUCACAUGUUAAAGGUUACUGUAGUAGUCAAAAUUGGUAAACAGAUUUCAUCUGGCUUCAAUCCCAAUUAUUGUGAAUCUAGAAUGAACAAACUCAAAAUGGUUAAAGCAAGUUAGUAUCUGGGACAUGACCCACCUUAGUCCAGAGCUGCCAACUCUCACGGUUUCCCCGUGUGACACACGCUUUUGCAUGUUCCACUCCAUCGAGACAUUGACUGGAGGGAUCCAAGAUCCCUUUCAUUGUGUGGACUGACCACAAGAACCUACAUUCAGUCAGCGAAACGGCUGAAUUCCCGUGUCAGGGUUGGGGGUGGAAGGCAGGACUCAAAUGCAGACUUGCAGGAAACAAAAGGCUUUAAUAGUUACAAGAUCCAAAAUGCCAAGGGGCAACAACACACAGGCAUGAAACUACGGGCAUCCAAGACAAAAGACAAGGACAUGCGUGGCAAAAGACAAUGACGCGGCAAGCGACACAAGAGACACACGGCUUAAAUACACAAGGGAGGUGCAGGUGAUUGGACACAGGUGGAAACUAUUAAGACGAUCACAGGGGAUGACGGGACAAGGCAGGAAGUGAAGUUACCCGGGGACACAAGUGGCAGAAAACUACAAAAUAUAACAUGAAGUGAACCACACCGUGACAUCCCGUCCUUAUUUUUGGUCCGUUUCAGUUUUAUCAUCACUUACCGUCAAAGAACAUCAAGCCGGAUGCCCAGUCUCGCCAGUUCGCGGAGAAGGAGACCCCGAGUGGAUCUGAUACCAUUCUGCCCGCAUCGCUGGUGGUGGGAGCGCUGACCUGGGAGGUGGAGGCAGCGGUUUGGGAGGCACAGCAUGUGGAUCCAGACCCCGGCACUUGAGCUUCAAAUCGUCUGUUUGUUCCGGAGUCAGUCCGCUCUCAAGUCCUGCAGUGGGGACACGCCUCUCGGUUCGCAUGUCAUCCAGGGAUUAGUCGGACGUUGUCUCUCCUGAGACGACACUUCUGGUGGCCUACCAUGGACAGGGACACUAGUGGAUACAUCCUCACCUGUCCGGCUUGUGCCCGGGCCAAGACCUCCCACCGACCACCUAUAGGAUUGCUCCGCCCCUUACCAAUGCCUGGUCGUCCUUGGUCCCACAUCGGUGUGGACUUUGUCACCGGUCUACCUCUUUCUGAUGGGAUGACCACAAUACUUACCAUUGUGGACCGGUUCUUCAAGGCAGCCCAUUUCAUUGGCUUCCCCAGGCUCCCGUCAGCCUGUGAAACGGCGAUUCUUUUGACGAAUCACGUCUUCCGCCUUCAUGGUAUCCCGUUGGACAUUGUCUCAGACCUCGGCCCUCAGUUCAUCUUUCAAGUUUGGAAGUCGUUCUGCCACGCCCUGGGGGCUACAGUCAGCCUAUCAUCUGGAUUUCACCCACAGACUAACGGACAGACUGAGAGAGCUAAUCAGGAUCUGGAGUCUGCCAUUUGAUGUGUUUCCGCUUCAAAUAUAACUUCUGUCACGGCCGGCGGCAAUAGAUCCAAACGCAGAGAGAAGUCAAAACAAGGGUCUUCAAUGUUUAACAGAUAUUGCGAGCCGAGCUCGAUGGCACAACGAUAGAACUCAAAUACACUCUCUUGGAGAUCAGUUGGAUAGAGUAUACACACAGUUGAGAACAGCGGAGAGAAACAAGAGGAUUGCUGACCGACACCGAACCCAGGCCCCUAACUACACACCAGGCCAGAGGGUGUGGCUAUCUGCUAAGAACAUUCCGUUGAAUCUCUCCUACAUCAACCCGGGUCUUCAUGCCAUUCAGCGCCAGAUUGUUCCGUCGUCAGAGUGGUAACUAUGUAUUCAGGCUAUCUGGCUGCUAGUGUGGAUUAGACGCUGUCUUUGUUCACCAUGUACUGAUUUUUGCCCUAGUGCUCCAGGAUCCCUACCUGCCUGCUGGCAGGCUCUCCGAGGCCAGUCUCCCCUCCAGACUGAACCCUGCCCUGUGCGCGUUUUUAUGUGUAUGUGUCUGAAUAAACACAUUAUUUUCUAGUCGGAAGAUCCUCCCCUGUGACUACUGUGUGCUGCGCUUGGGCCCACGCCCAUCUACCUCACCCUAACACUUUUUUCAUUGGAAGUAAUACAAACAGUGGUGCGACAUACAGCGGAGAACUGUGCAGAGGAACUACUCCAUGUGGCAAACGAACCACUUAAAGCACUGCUAUGCUAAGUUAGCUGCUAUGCUACUUCCAUCUCAACAUCUAAUGUUACCCUGCACGGCACACAGUCUGCAGAGGACUACCACUGUGUCUCUAAAAGACUGUGGUUUGAAAACGUCCUGGCUAAAUGUGAGGAGAUUGUUGGCACUUCAAACAGACGUCAAAUGAUGGAGAGUUGAGAGCAAAGUGCACGAUGACAACAGGAAGAGUCGCUAGUUCAACAUGUUCCACCAGGUGCAGUUCUGCCUCAAAGAUGAUCAAACGUGAGUAGUUUUGUGUUUUAAAAUAACAUUAACAAUUAAACAGAGACUAAAAUACACACUUUCUAAAGUGAUUAUGCAUUACUUUUAAGAUUUAGUCUAGAAGAAAAACAAACAUUCAUUAUAAACAACAUUGUAACAACAUUCAUUAAUUGCCAUUAAUCGAGAUUAAUUAAUUUCAAAAUGUGCAAUUAAUUAGUUAAUAGAUAGUUUUAAAUCAAUUGACAGCCCUAAUAGUAACACAUUCCACACAAACACACACACACACGCCUACCCUUUGUCUUCUUGUUACUCAAAUAAUAUAAUAAUAUUCUGAUCAAUGAGGUUACAUACCAUAAGAUAGGUGACAUCGGUAGAGAUUAACGUCAUAGUAUUUAAUGUCUAUAAUACAGUGAUCAAUCAACCUUACCCAAAGAUCAUAGAAAAUGACUAACCAGCUUCUGAUCUGCAGCUGAUACCUCAUUUUUAGUUAUGAUGUGUUGAUCCAUUGUAUUGCUUAAAAAGGCUAUAGUGUUAAAGCACUUUAAGCACUUUAGUUGUUUGAUGAAACGUGUGGUGGGAGGCUAAGGAAAUAACGAAUAACGAAAAAUAGUUCUCUGCAACUAAUCUUGUCAUUUUUUGCUGAACAUAAAUCAUUAAGUGCUCUUAAGAAUACAAUUAUUAACAAUAUAGCAUUUGUAAGAUAUGUAAUUACAGUAUGUAUGUAAUGUAUAUUACAUUGUAAUCAAAUGUCAAUCAACCUACCUUGGUCAAAUCUCAAACACAGGUCUAUUAAUUAGGCUUUAUUGUGGCACAUAGACAGUCAUUGAGGCACAACAAUCAUCAAGUCAUCAGAUGAAUCAGAAUAAGUUCAGGUAUUGCACAUCUUUAACAUACCAUCCAAAAAUCCACUAGAAUGCAGGAAAUACCAUUUACUUAAACCAAAAUGUCCUGGGAUGGACCUUCAGCUGUGUCUUUGCUUCUCAGAAUGUAACCAAUAUUGUCCAUCUCCAGUAGGCCUAUCAAUGACUUUGUGCCACAAAAACCACCAGAUUGCAGGACACAACAUGGAUACAACGCCAAAUUAAUUCCAAUUCCCUGAUAUUUGAGCCACCAACGUGUGUGGCUGCGUGGGCGGCAACAUUUUGGUCACCCCAGACAAAAUCUCACUCCAAGGUUUUUUGGCAUAGUUGGCAGCUCUGUUAGUCUCAACUAGCAAUGUUCAAAUGUAUCAAAAUGUAAAAAACACGUGUCACCCAGUGACACGUGGAGGAAUUCCUUUGCACAGUUCUUGUUUUACUUCCAAAGCAAAAAGCUCUCUGCAUUCUCCACCACCGGUCUCUAACGUUAACUGACAACACACGGCAGUUUUGCGUACAAUGUCUUUAGUUUGCGGCGGAAGAUGUAAAGACUCUCUGCAGUCCUGAUGUCAUCAGAGAGCUCGUUCCACUCUUUAGGAGCAGGACAGCAAAGAGUUAUGAUCUAGUCGAGUGUUUUGCUGAGGAACAAGCAGUUUAUCAGAUGCAGAGCGGAGAGUGCGGGUCGGGAUGGAGGGUUUGACCAUGUCCUGGAUGUAGACCGGACCCGAUCCAUUCACAGCAUGGUACCUGAGCACCAAUGAAAUAAGAUGAUUUCUUGGUGACCAAAAUGCUACAAUUUUCUUGCCCCAAAAACAACUUGUGAAAGGAUUCUAACUAAAGUUUUAAGAUGAAAGCAAAGAUGGAAAGCACCGUGGUAGCGACCAGUCCAUCGGAAGGUGGCCCCACCCUAAAGCAUACCUUGCUUUAUUCUACUUUAAAAGGAACCGUUUUUACCAAAGGAUAACCAAAAUGUGUUGAAGACAACUUAAAGCUACAGAUUUAGACCAUAAACUUGUGUUUACAAUGUUUACUGCAGAGAAGAGUCAUUUUCUCACAGGCUUCUAUGCAAUUCGAGGGAUCGCCCCCUGAUGGCUAAUACAUUGAGUGCAUCUUUAAGGUACUUACACAAACUGAGGUUUCUGUCCACAUUCUAAUGUCUCGGCCCUAGAGGGUCCAAACAACAGUAAAGCCGGGUCCCAAAAGCCAAGAGAAUAGUUCAAUUCUCAUUACUCAUUAAUCAUACUAAAAGAGAAAAGUAGACCUUUUAAUCUCUUUUCUUCCAACGAAUCCGAUUACUUGUUAGAUUGCGCUAUGGAUACAAUUUACGAUGUGUCACGGUUUGGGUUUAUUUCCUGUCUUAUUUUGUAGUUUCAUGCCUCCUUGUGUCCCUGGGUUAGAUUCACUUCCUGCCUUGUCCUGUGAUUGUCUGCCGUGUCCAUGAUUGUUUCCACCCGUGUCCAAUCACCUGCAUCCUCCCAGUGUAUUUAAGCCAUGUGUGUCUCUUGUCCCUGGUCGUGUCAUUGUAUGUCUUACCAAGUAUUGUGAAUGUCAUUCGUGUUCUUGAAUGCAUGCCUUCAUGAAUGCAUGUCCUACCCUGAACCUCGUUCCCGUGUCUUGUAAGUUCCUGGUUCCCGUCUUGUCUGUGUUUUUUUUUUCCCUUCUGCAUUUUUGGAUUUGGAAUAUUUACUAUUAAAGUCUUUUUUUGUUUGGAACUCUGCGUCUGAGUCCUGUUUCCGGUGACGCCACCCGGCUGUCGUGACACGAUGGAAUAAACUACAGGAAGUGGCUUUUAAAAGACUUUCAAAAUAAUUAGAAGGACGCUACCAGUACCACGGAAUAGGACAUGAGCCUACGUGAUGCACGAGAGAUGGUGACCACUGAGGAGCAGCUGGAUGAGGACUCCGCCUGCUGCCCGAGUCUUCCUUUUCCCAAGUCCUUAUCUCUGCACUUUCACAAUGAUGGGCCGUUGGGGCCAGCAAGGUCUUCUCUUCUGGCUUCAUCAUCAUCGGAUUAUGAAUGUAAUAUUGAUAAAUAUUUCCAAAGAUGUGUAUUAACAUAUUCCCCAUAGUCUAUUCCCUUUUUUUCACAGCUUUCCUCUUGGUUGUGCUCUUUUUCUCCUCAAGUCACGAUUUACAAGACUGGCCCUUAUGUUAUCCAAUCCUAUUUCAUUUCCAUCAUGUGUUGCUAGCGUUCAAGAGAUCUUCCCUUACGCCUUUGGAAUGAAGAGCGCAAGUGGCUGCAGCUCAGCGUGAAUGAUCAGAUCUGGAGUCACAGAUAUACUUACAAGCCAUUUUCACAAUGUACUCUGUUCUCCCCAAGAAAAGCUAGACAUUGUGAGAAGAGGCACAGAGGAGGAUUCAUUCGGCUAGGAUAGUGUAGGACAUCACUGAAGGCCUAGGAGGGAAAAGCACGUCCCGCCACUGCAUUCUCAUGCAACUCAUUUCUCACUGAGACAAGUAAUGCCCAAUUUAUGUUUGUUGCUGCCAACAAAGUCUUGGAGUCGAUCAGAUUUAACAGAUUAAAGGGCCACUCUCGGAGAGGCGUUUAUAAUUACACCCACUUGUUACAGAAGGUUAAGAUUUAUUACGUUUGAGGGAGUGGAUAACUAGUCACAUUUGUUGGAGUGUGUGUUGGCAGCAGUGACAUUCAGGACAUGCUAGGAAGUAAUAGAAAAAAAAUCAUGAGAAGACUUGUACCAUCUGUCUAUCCCAACUCCCAAACCCACGCUGCCUUUAAAUUACAUUCAGGAGAGAUGCGCUUCUAUGGGUACUUAGACAUAAUGUGUCUAUGUACAAAGUGCUGUAGUGGUAAAAUUAGAGGUGGGUAAACUCUGAAUUUUGUGAUCACACAGACCUCGACGCGAUGCGAAGCAACGCAACACAAAGCGUCGCGACUCUGUAAGGCUGUCGUGGCUGUAUUGCAUUAUGUUAUCAGUAAAAGUCAUAUACAAUCAAUGACAAUGAAUACAUGUGUUAGUAGUUUGUAGUUUAUUAAAUUUAAGAAAACAGCAGUAAAGAAAAGUAUGACAACACAACAAGACAAUUGCAGAUUAAGAACUAUCUACAUACGGAGUCUCCUUUUUACAGUAGUGCCCAGAGGGCCUCCUUGUCCUCCACGUCAGGUCCUGCCUUGCUUCUCCUCUCUCUAUUGGACCUGGUGUUUCUCCUCUCCCUGUGCUCUCUGCAUCAUUGCCUUUGUUUUAAAAUUACACCAAGUUUAUUUCGGAUUAUUCCAACGGAAGAAUACAAGGCGCAGGGAACUUUGAGGUGCGUAAACGCCACUUAGAGGUGCUUAAACGCUAUUUCCAAAAUUCUAGAGGUGCGUAAACGGCGUUUACGUGCGUUUACCCUCCACUACAGCCCUGUAUGUACAUAUAUUGCUAUUACACAUUAUGUUGUCACCUGCCACAGGCUGUGGAAAAGGAAACAUGACAAAACAUUGUUUACAAUCAAAUUAAUAUAAUAUAGUUAUGUAUGUAAAAACUAUUAAAAGCCCGGCCCAAAUAUGACUAGAGCAACCAAUGUGGCUUAAUCCAACUUUGAACAGUCCCCAACAAAGCAAUAUGUCCUUGUGCUUGAGUAAUAUAUGAUGAAAACUAUAGUGACUAGCUGUUGAAGAAGUAUAUAAUGAAACCGGCUGUCGCUGUUUGAAUAUAAUUAUCAGUAACAACCAAUGGGCUUGGAGCUGAGAACCAAAGAGAGGAAGUUGGAGGUAUCCAUUUACAACACACAGAAUACACAUGCUAAAAUAAAGCGUCAGUAAUGUCACCUACACUGUAUAUUUGCAGAUCCCACAAUAGAUUCUUUUCAAAGGCAAUUGGAUUUUUCCAUUGCAUUUUAAAUUAUUGCAGAAAAUAAAUACAGGUAUAAGUUAUCUGGCACAGGUUGAUAAAGGUCCUUGUAUUUUAAUUCUGUCCCAGGUUGGUAGCGUGUACAAAUAAAUAGUUGCAAAAUGUAAACCCUUUAGACUCAGACAAAUAACACCGGAGCCAUAAACCCGAUUAAACUGGGAAAAGUGUUGAUUAACUGAUAUUGUUGUGUCAGCAAAGAAGACUUUGACCUUGAACCAAUACAAUUACACAUCAUCAAAUCAAUUGUUCUAUUUCAUUAUUCAUCACAGCCAACGUUUAUGGUCAACAAAUGUUGCCUGUAUAGUCUUAUUAGAUAAAUCAAAGUCCAUUGAACUUGAACGUUGCAUCGCUGCAGCUCACAACCUAAAAACUUAUUCUGUGGAAACACAAAGAGGAGUUUUUUGGCCCAAACAGAUUGCAGCACUCAGUGUGCUUUUAGCUUUUUAGUUUUUCAUGCUAUGAAGGCAUAGUACACACUUAUUCACAACAAUUGUAAUGAGAUAUUUUUUAACAGAAACUGUCCCCUGAUUUAUACUCUGGUGAAAAAAAAACCACUUCAAUUUGUGCAAAUCUAUUCCAUGCCCCGACCACACUGUAACAUGCAGUAAGUGGGCGGCUCAUAGAACGUCUGACGGAUGGACUUCUGUCUGCUGGCUUGUUGCUCAAAGUCAAUGUGGUGGGCAGAGCAGAAGUACGGUGAAACGAAAACACUGAUGCCCGCACAGCUGCGCUUAUCCCAGUGCUUGAAUAGAAAGAUAUGAAAGCAAUACACCACACAUUAUAAAUUAGCAUGAAUUAAAUAAACAAGGCUAAGUGGUCCGUAGAGGCUGCGAUAUUCAUCAUGCACGGAACCAACAACAGACUCACAAUGGUUGUGUACCAGAGCUCUACUGGUGCAGAUCUGAGCACACUGCAGGAACAGCCAUGGAGUCAUUAAGCCAAAAGGCAACAAAAGAAGGAAAUAAAUGUGCUAAGCUUUUACAGUCGAGAAAUCUGACAGUUUUGUUGCAAUGGAUUUUUAGU